GAACUGAAGAGUUUGAUCAUGGCUCAGAUUGAACGCUGGCGGCAGGCCUAACACAUGCAAGUCGAGCGGAUGAAGGGAGCUUGCUCCUGGAUUCAGCGGCGGACGGGUGAGUAAUGCCUAGGAAUCUGCCUGGUAGUGGGGGAUAACGUCCGGAAACGGGCGCUAAUACCGCAUACGUCCUGAGGGAGAAAGUGGGGGAUCUUCGGACCUCACGCUAUCAGAUGAGCCUAGGUCGGAUUAGCUAGUUGGUGGGGUAAAGGCCUACCAAGGCGACGAUCCGUAACUGGUCUGAGAGGAUGAUCAGUCACACUGGAACUGAGACACGGUCCAGACUCCUACGGGAGGCAGCAGUGGGGAAUAUUGGACAAUGGGCGAAAGCCUGAUCCAGCCAUGCCGCGUGUGUGAAGAAGGUCUUCGGAUUGUAAAGCACUUUAAGUUGG
rnacentral:rRNA from 1 species